GGGGAUUUAGCUCAAUGGUAGAGCACUUGCCUAGCAAGCGCAAGGCCCUGGGUUCAGUCCUCA
rnacentral:tRNA from 1 species